CUCCAGCCUGUUCUCCCCGACCAGGAGCUCGACUCUGCAGAUGCGCUGUUUUUAAGGUCUCUGUGCUUUCUCUUAAUGGAAAAAAAAAAAAAGUGUCUGGUCAAACUUGCUGUUGUCGGUCAGACUGCAUUAACCCAGUAACCUACACCUUUCAAUGUUACUCACUCGUCCCAUACCCCCACUCAUCUCCUCGCUUCACUUUGACAGUAGAUGUUUUCAUUCUUUCCGACCAGGUUAUCGCAGUUCCCAUAGGACGCUGACACCACAACACACAAAGGCACACAUUCAGGCACAAGACAGUCACAUUCCAGCAGAUGUAUCACUGAAACACAAACAGGAACGUGUGCACACACACUCUGCAGCACAUUCCAUCGACAACAUUGCAGCUUUGCUCACAUGUUGCGAUGGCCUCUGCCUCUCUGGGUCAGAGAGCUGUGGUGAGUGACCACCUUUUGAGUCGCCCGCCCUGUUUGUUUUCCAAAGACAGUGCCAUCAAUUCUCUAACAAGUGACUAGACACAGCAACAACAGAGAGCACAGGACCUCCCUGUUUCUGCCUGUGUAGUCCACUGACUGAUGGAGCAUGCAUGCAAUAAUAGACAUCAGUGCUGUGUGCGUCUUGAAUGCAUUCCAGCAAGUGUAUGUGUGUGUAAGCCUGUGCAUGUUUUUGUAUGCAUGCCUUUAUGUGCUCCAUUUAAUAUCAUCAAAUGAUGUUGAUGUUUUUCUUGCAGUAAUGAUCUGAAGAUUGUGCCUGCAAACAUGUACCUUUUGCUUUUUAUGCUGGUAUGAAAGCAUCAC